rnacentral:rRNA from 1 species
AUCCUGGCUCAGGAUGAACGCUGGCGGCGUGCCUAACACAUGCAAGUCGAGCGAAGCACUUGCGAAUGAUCCUUCGGGUGAUUUUGCUGGUGACUGAGCGGCGGACGGGUGAGUAACGCGUGGGUAACCUGCCUCAUACAGGGGGAUAACAGUUAGAAAUGACUGCUAAUACCGCAUAAGCGCACAGUACCACAUGGUACGGUGUGAAAAACUCCGGUGGUAUGAGAUGGACCCGCGUCUGAUUAGCUAGUUGGUGGGGUAACGGCCCACCAAGGCGACGAUCAGUAGCCGACCUGAGAGGGUGAUCGGCCACAUUGGGACUGAGACACGGCCCAAACUCCUACGGGAGGCAGCAGUGGGGAAUAUUGCACAAUGGGGGAAACCCUGAUGCAGCAACGCCGCGUGAGUGAAGAAGUAUUUCGGUAUGUAAAGCUCUAUCAGCAGGGAAGAAAAUGGCGGUACCUGACUAAGAAGCCCCGGCUAACUACGUG